rnacentral:rRNA from 1 species
CAUGCAGUCGAGCGGUAGAGAGAAGCUUGCUUCUCUUGAGAGCGGCGGACGGGUGAGUAAUGCCUAGGAAUCUGCCUGGUAGUGGGGGAUAACGUUCGGAAACGGACGCUAAUACCGCAUACGUCCUACGGGAGAAAGCAGGGGACCUUCGGGCCUUGCGCUAUCAGAUGAGCCUAGGUCGGAUUAGCUAGUUGGUGAGGUAAUGGCUCACCAAGGCGACGAUCCGUAACUGGUCUGAGAGGAUGAUCAGUCACACUGGAACCGAGACACGGUCCAGACCCCUACGGGAGGCAGCAGUGGGGAAUAUUGGACAAUGGGCGAAAGCCUGAUCCAGCCAUGCCGCGUGUGUGAAGAAGGUCUCCGGAUUGUAAAGCACUUAAAGUUGGGAGGAAGGGCAGUUACCUAAUACGUGAUUGUUUUGACGUUACCGACAGAAUAAGCACCGGCUAACUCUGUGCCAGCAGCCGCGGUAAUACAGAGGGUGCAAGCGUUAAUCGGAAUUACUGGGCGUAAAGCGCGCGUAGGUGGUUAGUUAAGUUGGAUGUGAAAUCCCCGGGCUCAACCUGGGAACUGCAUUCAAAACUGACUGACUAGAGUAUGGUAGAGGGUGGGUGGAAUUUCCUGUGUAGCGGUGAAAUGCGUAGAUAUAGGAAGGAACACCAGUGGCGAAGGCGACCACCUGGACUGAUACUGACACUGAGGUGCGAAAGCGUGGGGAGCAAACAGGAUUAGAUACCCUGGUAGUCCACGCCGUAAACGAUGUCAACUAGCCGUUGGGAGCCUUGAGCUCUUAGUGGCGCAGCUAACGCAUUAAGUUGACCGCCUGGGGAGUACGGCCGCAAGGUUAAAACUCAAAUGAAUUGACGGGGGCCCGCACAAGCGGUGGAGCAUGUG